rnacentral:rRNA from 1 species
UACGUAGGGGGCAAGCGUUGUCCGGAUUUAUUGGGCGUAAAGAGCGUGUAGGCGGCUUGGUAGGUCCGCUGUGAAAACUCGAGGCUCAACCUCGAGAUGUCGGCGGAAACCACUUGGCUAGAGUCCGGAAGAGGAGAGUGGAAUUCCUGGUGUAGCGGUGAAAUGCGCAGAUAUCAGGAAGAACACCUAUGGCGAAGGCAGCUCUCUGGGACGGUACUGACGUUGAGACGCGAAAGCGUGGGGAGCGAACAGG